UAGGGAAUCUUCGGCAAUGGGGGCAACCCUGACCGAGCAACGCCGCGUGAGUGAAGAAGGUUUUCGGAUCGUAAAGCUCUGUUGUAAGAGAAGAACGUGUGUGAGAGUGGAAAGUUCACACAGUGACGGUAACUUACCAGAAAGGGACGGCUAACUACGUGCCAGCAGCCGCGGUAAUACGUAGGUCCCGAGCGUUGUCCGGAUUUAUUGGGCGUAAAGCGAGCGCAGGCGGUUUAAUAAGUCUGAAGUUAAAGGCAGUGGCUUAACCAUUGUUCGCUUUGGAAACUGUUAGACUUGAGUGCAGAAGUGGAGAGUGGAAUUCCAUGUGUAGCGGUGAAAUGCGUAGAUAUAUGGAGGAACACCGGUGGCGAAAGCGGCUCUCUGGUCUGUAACUGACGCUGAGGCUCGAAAGCGUGGGGAGCAAACAGG
rnacentral:rRNA from 1 species